GUGGGGAAUCUUCCGCAAUGGACGAAAGUCUGACGGAGCAACGCCGCGUGAGUGAUGAAGGUCUUCGGAUUGUAAAGCUCUGUUAAUCGGGACGAAAGAGCCUAGUGUGAAUAAUGCUAGGAAGUGACGGUACCGGAAUAGAAAGCCACGGCUAACUACGUGCCAGCAGCCGCGGUAAUACGUAGGUGGCAAGCGUUGUCCGGAAUUAUUGGGCGUAAAGCGCGCGCAGGCGGAUCUGCCAGUCUGUCUUAAAAGUUCGGGGCUUAACCCCGUGAUGGGAAGGAAACUACAGAUCUAGAGUAUCGAAGAGGAAAGUGGAAUUCCUAGGGUAGCGGUGAAAUGCGUAGAUAUUAGGAAGAACACCAGUGGCGAAGGCGACUUUCUGGACGAAAACUGACGCUGAGGCGCGAAAGCCAGGGGAGCGAACGGGAUUAGAAACCCUUGUAGUCC
rnacentral:rRNA from 1 species